UUCCGGUUGAUCCUGCCGGAGGUCACCGCUAUUGGGAUUCGAUUAAGCCAUGCGAGUCGAGAGGGUUCGGCCCUCGGCAGACGGCUCAGUAACACGUGGAUAAUCUGCCCUUAGGUGGAGGAUAACCUCGGGAAACUGAGAAUAAUACUCCAUAGAUUUAAGAGGCUGGAAUGCGCUUAAAUUGAAAGUUCCGACGCCUAAGGAUGAGUCUGCGGACUAUCAGGUAGUAGUCAGGGUAAGGACCUGACUAGCCUACGACGGAUACGGGUUGUGAGAGCAAUAACCCGGAGGUGAUAUCUGAGACACGAUAUCAGGCCCUACGGGGCGCAGCAGGCGCGAAACCUUCACAAUGUGCGAAAGCGCGAUGAGGGAAUCCCAAGUGCUUGCUCGUCAGAGUAAGCUGUUUUUUUGUUUAAAAAGCAAAAAGAGAAAGGGCUGGGUAAGACGGGUGCCAGCCGCCGCGGUAAUACCUGCAGCUCAAGUGGUGACCGCUAUUAUUGGGCCUAAAACAUCCGUAGCCGGCUGAGUAAAUGCUUGGGUAAAUCGUGUAGCUUAACUAUACGAAUUCCGAGUAGACUGCUCAGCUUGAGACCGGGAGAAGCUAGAGGUACUCCUGGGGUAGAGGUGAAAUUCUGUAAUCCUGGGGGGACCACCAGUGGCGAAGGCGUCUAGCUAGAACGGGUCUGACGGUGAGGGAUGAAACCCUGGGGCGCAAACCGGAUUAGAUACCCGGGUAGUCCAGGGCGCAAACGCUGCUUGCUUGAUGUUAGCUGGGCUCCGAGCUCAGCUAGUGUCGGAGAGAAGUUGUUAAGCAAGCUGCCUGGGAAGUACGAUCGCAAGAUUGAAACUUAAAGGAAUUGGCGGGGGAGCACAGCAACGGGUGGAGCGUGCGGUUUAAUUGGAAUCAACGCCGGU
rnacentral:rRNA from 1 species